AACCUAUAGAAAAAAGCUAAGUGAGACACCACUUUUAGAAAUUUUUCUUUUAGCUAAAAGCCGAAGUGGAUCCUAAAUUAAUUUCAGAAACAUUGCAGAUGAAGAGAAUGACAAGUAAGCCUUGAAAUGCUCGGUACACAAGGAAAAUCUGCUUUAUUCAGGUUUACCUUGAGGCGCAGACUAUCUUUUUUUUGCAGCCAUAUAUAUGAAGUGCUAGUUUAUGAGGCUUUUAUAAGAUUCCUCCUAUUAUACAUCAACACUGAAAUAUAAAAACACAACUGUCAAAUACAAUGUUUUAAUAUUCAUGGGGGAGGAAAGACUCCUGUGUUGUAAUGUUCCAGCUACUACCUUACUAACUGUAGAUAUGUACUGUUGCACAAGUGCUAGUGUAGGGGUACGGCCACGUGGUCAGGUUUCCUGAUGCGGUUUUGGAAGCCAAAACUAGAAGCGA